GCAGGUGUGGCGGAAUUGGUAUACGCGUACGCUUCAGAAGCGUAUCCUGAAAAGGAUGGAGGUUCAAGUCCUCUCACCUGCA
rnacentral:tRNA from 1 species